GAUGAACGCUGGCGGCGUGCCUAAUACAUGCAAGUCGAGCGAACAGACGAGGAGCUUGCUCCUCUGACGUUAGCGGCGGACGGGUGAGUAACACGUGGAUAACCUACCUAUAAGACUGGGAUAACUUCGGGAAACCGGAGCUAAUACCGGAUAAUAUAUUGAACCGCAUGGUUCAAUAGUGAAAGACGGUUUUGCUGUCACUUAUAGAUGGAUCCGCGCCGCAUUAGCUAGUUGGUAAGGUAACGGCUUACCAAGGCAACGAUGCGUAGCCGACCUGAGAGGUGGACAGCCACACGGGGAGCGGGACACGGCCCAGGCCUCCUGGGGGGGGCGGAAGAGGGAAUUCUCCGGAAUGGGGGGAAAUCCGGGGGAACCAGGCCGGGGGGGGAAGGAAGGUUCUUGGGAUCGAAAACCUUUUUUUUGGGGGAAAAAAAAAUGUGUAAUAACAUAGGCCCUUUUUGACGUUACUAAAUAAAAAGGCCCGGGCUAACUACGUG
rnacentral:rRNA from 1 species